rnacentral:lncRNA from 1 species
CACUAAUGAUACAUAUAAACAGCAUGGAUAGAUAAAUGGAUGGAUGGAUGGUUGGAUAGAUAGAUGGAUGGAUGGAUAGUUGGAUGGGUGGAUAGAUAGAUGGAUGGAUGGACGGACGGAUGGACAGAUGCACAGAUGGACGGAUGGAUGGAAGGAUGGAUAGAACGAUAGAGAGAGAGAGAGAGAGACAUUUUAUAUACUUUAUUUAUGAAAGCAGUUUUAGGUUACAGAAAGAUUGAGUACGGAGUAUGAAGAGUCCCCAUAUCCCCCUGCAAGUCCAAUUUUGGCACUUCUUGGUCUCUCAGCCCUCCAGUUGUUUCCCAUCCCGCUAAGAAUAAAAUCCAAGUAAGACAUGGCCUACAAGACUUCAUCUUGGACCUCAUCAGCUCUCUCUUCUUCACUCCCUCAGCUGCAGUCUCUUGUGUCACCUUGCUGCUCCUCGCCCAGCAAGCCCCCUGGUGGAUACCCCGGGCCCAUAUUCUUCUAGGUGCCUCGGAUACAUGCAACAUGAGUGUUGCCUCAGCUAAGCUUCCUCCAGCCGCUCCCUGAAGGGGCCUAGUGAACUGCACUAGAAGCUUCCUCUGGGUCCUGAUCCUGGCCUUCUUCUGUGGACCCCCCUUCUCGGUCCCCAGCUUCACCAUCUUCCUUCUCUUCCACAGGCCCUUGCUGGCUUCAGGCCUUGCCCCCAUUCCCUCUGCUGUAAGGUGAUCCCAGGGUCCCUGGUGGAAGACCCUCAGCCUAUGGAUGUUGGGCUGGCGGUCUUUAACUGCUGCUUUUCUUGUCUUAGGCUGUGUGUUUGGGUCACAUGUGCAGACCCUGAGGUUGGGCCCCUCUCAGUUUGCACCCUAAAUCAUUCCCCCAGGAAAGGAAAAGCUGUGGGCAGAGCAACCCAAGGACCUUGACUUUUCAGAGACUUGGCUUCCUUAGCAUUAGAAUGGGACUGAGGAAGGUCUCCAUUUCAGAGGAAUGUCCUGCAAAUGAAAUGCAAAGAAAGGACUUAGGCCAGUACCAAGCUACAGAGUAAAUAUUCAUUACGUUUUACCUCUGCCUGUCAUCAGCGGACUCCAAGCUCUCUCUUUCUCUGCAUUUUUCACUGGAGGAGGUUGAAUUCCUCUGUUAGCGGAAGACAGCUCCUUCCUUGCAGCCCAGGAAAAAAUGAGGGCUCUUUCUACUUCCUUCUCUUCCCUCUUCUCCCAUUUCUCCUCCUCCUCUUUCUCCUCCUUUUCUCCUUUCCCCUUCUCUUCUCUCUUUCCUUCUCCUUCUUUUCCUUCUAUCAGUUGACCUUGGUGUUGGGUGUGUAGAUUUUGUCUGCAUGACCUGAGUUCUUCCCUGUCCGGGAAUGGCAUUUGUCCACCUGCUGGAUGAAUAUCUUACUUCUUUUCUCAAAAGUGCAUUCAUACUCAGUUCCUGUGCCCCAAAGCAAAGUUCAGGCCUUCCAACCCUUCAGGGAGAGCUCAGCCCUGGGGACGCACAGACCCCAGCACUCUCCAUUUAUGGGUCUUGCAGACCAGCUUGGCAACACUUAACAGGCCCUGGCUGAUGGUGUUGGGGCCCCACAGCCAGGGCAGCUCUUCAGGCCUGCCCCUCUCCUUCAUCUCAGGUCUCAGCACCAUGGGAGUGGCUGUUUGUCCUAGCUCUAUGGUUUUGGACAGGAAGCAAGAGCUUCCGGUCCAACUGGUGAUCAGAAGACUCUUCCUCUAGGAACAACAGGUCCCUUUUUCUGGGCCUUUUUAUAAAUUUUAAUCUUCCUCCUUUGACAAACUUCCCCCCUCUCCCGUGACCAAAGGACAAGGACAAACCAGCCCCGCAAAAUAAAUUGAACGAACCCUUUACAUUGUUGCCGGCCCAGUGGAAAGCCCUCGUUCCCUUGUUGCUGCCUCACUCUAUAAAGAAACAUGGGAACAGAAAAAGAAAUCGAUCAUCUGACUUGCUAGAUCACAUUUGAAUUUUGUCGUUGUUGUUGUUACUGUUGUUCAGAAAAGAAAAAUGUCAACGCUGUAAGAUAAAAUUUUGGUCCAACCCAUCACGAGUCCUUAAAAAAUGGAGAACCUUUCCUGGUGCGCUCAGAGAGAGAUCUGAUGACAGAGGAAGGUCCAGAGAUGGAAGCUGAGAAGGAUUUGAUGCCCCGUGGCUGGUUCUGAGAUGUAGGGGGAGG